rnacentral:rRNA from 1 species
CCUACGGGAGGCAGCAGUGAGGAAUAUUGGUCAAUGGGCGCUAGCCUGAACCAGCCAAGUAGCGUGAAGGAUGAAUGCCCUAUGGGUUGUAAACUUCUUUUAUAUGGGAAUAAAGUGCAGUAUGUAUACUGCUUUGCAUGUACCUUAUGAAUAAGGAUCGGCUAACUCCGUGCCAGCAGCCGCGGUAAUACGGAGGAUCCGAGCGUUAUCCGGAUUUAUUGGGUUUAAAGGGAGCGUAGGCGGGUUGUUAAGUCAGUUGUGAAAGUUUGCGGCUCAACCGUACAAUUGCAGUUGAUACUGGCAGCCUUGAGUACGAUAGAGGUAGGCGGAAUGCGUGGUGUAGCGGUGAAAUGCUUAGAUAUCGCGAAGAACUCCGAUUGCGAAGGCAGCCUGCUGGACUGUAACUGACGCUGAUGCUCGAAAGUGUGGGUAUCAAACAGGAUUAGAUACCCGUGUAGUC